CCGGCCUUAGCUCAGUUGGUAGUAGCGGCAGACUGUAAUGAGGCCUGAAUCUAGCAGGAUGGCAGACCUCAGCAGGCAUCUGUAAGUCCCCGGCUCAAGUCCGGGAGGCCGGA